UUUCCCUCAUGAUAGCUGGAGUACAUAAUGAAGCUGUCAUAUUCGGUAAAGCGGAUGAUUAGAGGAAUUGUGGGACGAAACGUCUUCAACCUAUUCUCAAACUUCUGAUAAGUAUGUCGUCUCGUCUGCUUGAAUGAAACAUAGAUAUUGAAUGUGUGCUUCAAGUGGGCCAUUUUUGGUGAGCAGAAAUGGCGCUGUAGAAUAAACGA
rfam:Onchocerca volvulus assembly O_volvulus_Cameroon_v3 genomic scaffold, OVOC_OM1b